CGACCCCAGGUCAGGCGGGACUACCCGCUGAGUUUAAGCAUAUAAAUAAGCGGAGGAGAAGAAACUUACAAGGAUUCCCCUAGUAACGGCGAGCGAACCGGGAGCAGCCCAGCUUGAGAAUCGGGCGGCUGUGCCGUCCGAAUUGUAGUCUGGAGAGGCGUCCUCAGCGACGGACCGGGCCCAAGUCCCCUGGAAAGGGGCGCCUGGGAGGGUGAGAGCCCCGUCCGGCCCGGACCCUGUCGCCCCACGAGGCGCCGUCAACGAGUCGGGUUGUUUGGGAAUGCAGCCCAAAUCGGGCGGUAGAC
rnacentral:ncRNA from 1 species